rnacentral:rRNA from 1 species
ACGUGUAGGCGGCCGAUCAAGUCGGAUGUGAAAUCUCUCGGCUCAACCGAGAAACUGCAUCCGAUACUGGUCAGCUAGAGUGCGAGAGGGGUGAGUGGAACUCCAGGUGUAGCGGUGAAAUGCGUAGAUAUCUGGAGGAACGCCGGUGGCGAAAGCGACUCACUGGCUCGCAACUGACGCUGAGGCGCGAAAGCGUAGGGGAGCGAACG